UAACAAACCCAAGCCCAACAGUAAUUUAAUUACAAAAGUCCAUCAACUCUUAUUAGCCCAAGUAAUUGUUUAAGCCCAACUGUAAUUACCCAUUAUUCUUUAAUAUAUAAAAAUCUAAUCUAAACAAAUUAAUCAUCAUUUUCCUUUUCUUCUACGCAAUAGUAUCACUCUCUCCCUCUCUCUGCGUUCUCUCCUUUUUAUCUCUACUGGCGCUCUCUCGCUCUUUCCUCCUCCGGCAGAUGUCGCCGGUCCUCCCCGCCUCCGGCGCGGCGAGGCCGGCCCUCUCCUUCCCCCCCAUCCUUUUCUUUCUUCCCUACUUCCUUCCCAAUUUCUAAAAUCCCCAAAUUAUAGGGUUUGCUGCCUUCCUUUUUCCCUCUGAAAUUCGCCCCUCCGGCGAGGCCCGCCACUGCCGCCGCCGUCUCUGUGGCACCACCGCCACCUCCGUCAGGAAUUGAUCGGCAUCGUUGACUCCGGUGUGGCAGCUUCGUCUACUGCCCAAGAUUCUACCUUUUUAUAUGUUAUAAACCUAUUUUCCUUUAUUGCUUAUUGUAAAACUGAGAUUUUGAUGUUUUAUUGUAAAACGGAGAUUUCGAUGGUGAGGAAACAAUACUGUAUCAAUACU